rnacentral:rRNA from 1 species
GGGCCCGCACAAGCGGUGGAACAUGUGGUUUAAUUCGACACUACGCGAGAAACCUUACCUGGGUUUGACAUGCUAUUGACAGCCUUUAAAGGGGGUCUCCCAAAGAAAUUUGGGCAAUAGCACAGGUGCUGCAUGGCUGUCGUCAGCUCGUGUCGUGAGAUGUUGGGUUAAGUCCUUUAACGAGCGCAACCCCUGCUGUUAGUUGCGAGCUCCAAAAGAGCGCACUCUAGCAGGACUGCCUGGGAAACCAGGAGGAAGGUGGGGAUGACGUCAAGUCCUCAUGGCCCUUAUGUCCAGGGCUACACACGUGUUACAAUGGUUGGUACAAAGAGAUGCGAAAUCGCGAGGUGGAGCAAAUCUUAAAAAGCAAUCUAAGUUCGGAUUGAAGUCUGCAACUCGACUUCAUGAAGUUGAAAUCGCUAGUAAUCGUAUAUCAGAAUGAUACGGUGAAUACGUUCCCGGGCCUUGUACACACCGCCCGUCAAACUAUGGGAGUUAUCCGCACCCAAAGUCGCAGAGCCUAACCGCAAGGAAGGUGGCGCCUAAGGUGAGGGUGAUGACUGGAGUUAAGUCGUAACAAGGUAGCUGUAGGAGAACCUGCGGCU